GCGCCCGUGGCUCAAUGGAUAGAGCAUCGGACUUCUAAUCCGACGGUUGUGGGUUCGAGUCCCGCCGGGCGCA
rnacentral:tRNA from 1 species